rnacentral:lncRNA from 1 species
CUUUUUGAGGAAGACGCGGUCGUAAGGGCUGAGGAUUUUUGGUCCGCACGCUCCUGCUCCUGACUCACCGCUGUUCGCUCUCGCCGAGGAACAAGUCGGUCAGGAAGCCCGCGCGCAACAGCCAUGGCUUUUAAGGAUACCGGAAAAACACCCGUGGAGCCGGAGGUGGCAAUUCACCGAAUUCGAAUCACCCUAACAAGCCGCAACGUAAAAUCCUUGGAAAAGGGUCAGUGCAUUCGUUAUGCGGGGGGGAGGGGGAAUUGGGCGAAAAGCGACGAGCUUUACUCGUUAAUGUUAGUGUAGAAGGUGGACUGCAAGAACUAAAGUGACAAGUUACUUAAAAAAGUAAAGCGUGGCUUAAAAUUGCUUUUACUGUCAUACAGCUGGCGAUGAGGAGGUACCUAUUGUGUUGAGUAACGGUGAUAAUUUUAUACGCUAUUCUGAGCCAGCAGAAGUGAAGGCCUUAAGCCGAUUUUAAUUGUUUCGAUUAUACUGAGAGGUCUUUUAUUUCCUGUAGUGUGUGCUGACUUGAUAAGAGGCGCAAAAGAAAAGAAUCUCAAAGUGAAAGGACCAGUUCGAAUGCCUACCAAGGUAAAGUAAAUCGGAGGGGCAGGAAGUAGGAGUUGCUUCCGGAUGUUGCAUAAAUUCAGGUUCUUUAAGGAGUUCGGCUGCCAAAAUUGUUAACACUGAUGCUGUCUACAAACGCACAUAGAAAUCGGUGGUAGAUUGCGGUUCCUAGUAAGUAGCUAAUGUUUAGAUAUGAUUGUUGAAUUAUUGUUGCUGUGUUCUUGGUGUGCUUUGGUGCUUAACAGGCGCAAGCUCUA